rfam:Gorilla gorilla gorilla genomic chromosome, chr7, whole genome shotgun sequence
GCCGGGUGUGGUGGUGCACGCCUGUAAUCACUGCUACUCAUGAGGCUGAGGCAGGAGAAUUGCUUGAACCCAGGAGAUGGAGGUUGCAGUGAGCCAAGAUCAUGCCACUGCACUCCAACCUGGGUGACACAGUGAGAAUCUGUCUCAA